rnacentral:misc_RNA from 1 species
AAGACUAUAGACCUGCGGAGUACCUGCGGAAGGAUCAUUAAAAAAUUACGCUCCAACUUAAAGUCUAAAAAGCUUGACGUUGGUGUUGUAUUCAACCACUUGUAUACUUGUACCUGUUGCUUCCGUGGAGUUACGGGUGCUCACUUAGCGAUAGCUGGUGAGUUACCUUCCACGGGUGUAUUUUGAAACCAUGUUUUGUAGAUUGUUGUGUCUGAUUAAAUGUUUUAAUAAACUUAAAAC